rnacentral:rRNA from 1 species
GACGAACGCUGGCGGCGUGCUUAACACAUGCAAGUCGAACGGAAAGGCCCUGCUUUUGUGGGGUGCUCGAGUGGCGAACGGGUGAGUAACACGUGAGUAACCUGCCCUUGACUUUGGGAUAACUUCAGGAAACUGGGGCUAAUACCGGAUAGGAGCUCCUGCUGCAUGGUGGGGGUUGGAAAGUUUCGGCGGUUGGGGAUAGACUCGCGGCUUAUCAGCUUGUUGGUGGGGUAGUGGCUUACCAAGGCUUUGACGGGUAGCCGGCCUGAGAGGGUGACCGGCCACAUUGGGACUGAGAUACGGCCCAGACUCCUACGGGAGGCAGCAGUGGGGAAUAUUGCACGAUGGGCGGAAGCCUGAUGCAGCAACGCCGCGUGCGGGAUGACGGCCUUCGGGUUGUAAACCGCUUUCGCCUGUGACGAAGCGUGAGUGACGGUAAUGUGUAAAGAAGCACCGGCUAACUACGUG